AGUGAACGCUGGCGGUAGGCCUAACACAUGCAAGUCGAACGGCAGCACGGGAGAGCUUGCUCUCUGGGUGGCGAGUGGCGGACGGGUGGGGAAUACAUCGGAAUCUACUUUUUCGUGGGGGAUAACGUAGGGAAACUUACGCUAAUACCGCAUACGACCUACGGGUGAAAGCAGGGGAUCUUCGGACCUUGCGCGAGUGAAUGAGCCGAUGUCGAAUUAGCUAGUUGGCGGGGUAAAGGCCAACCAAGGCGACGAUCCGUAGCUGGUCUGAGAGGAUGAUCAGCCACACUGGAACUGAGACACGGUCCAGACUCCUACGGGAGGCAGCAGUGGGGAAUAUUGGACAAUGGGCGCAAGCCUGAUCCAGCCAUACCGCGUGGGUGAAGAAGGCCUUCGGGUUGUAAAGCCCUUUUGUUGGGAAAGAAAUCCAGCUGGUUAAUACCCGGUUGGGAUGACGGUACCCAAAGAAUAAGCACCGGCUAACUUCGUGCCAGCCGCCGCCGUAA
rnacentral:rRNA from 1 species